rnacentral:rRNA from 1 species
UGGGGAAUAUUGGACAAUGGGCGCAAGCCUUAUCCAGCCAUGCCGCGUGAGUGAUGAAUGCCCUAGGGUUGUAAAGCUCUUUCACCGGUGAAGAUAAUGACGGUAACCGGAGAAGAAGCCCCGGCUAACUUCGUGCCAGCAGCCGCGGUAAUACGAAGGGGGCUAGCGUUGUUCGGCUUUACUGGGCGUAAAGCGCACGUAGGCGGACUUUUAAGUCAGGGGUGAAAUCCCGGGGCUCAACCCCGGAACUGCCUUUGAUACUGGAAGGCGUGAGUAUGGUAGAGGUGAGUGGAAUUCCGAGUGUAGAGGUGAAAGUCGUAGAGAUUCGGAGGAACACAAGUGGCGAAGGCGGCUCACUGGACCAUUACUGACGCUGAGGUGCGAAAGAGUGGGGAGCAAACAGG